ACAACAGUUGGAAACGACUGCUAAUACCGCAUAAGCCCACGGGUCGGCAUCGACCAGAGGGAAAAGGAGCAAUCCGCUUUGAGAUGGCCUCGCGUCCGAUUAGCUAGUUGGUGAGGUAACGGCCCACCAAGGCAACGAUCGGUAGCCGGACUGAGAGGUUGAACGGCCACAUUGGGACUGAGACACGGCCCAGACUCCUACGGGAGGCAGCAGUGGGGAAUAUUGCACAAUGGGGGAAACCCUGAUGCAGCGACGCCGCGUGGAGGAAGAAGGUCUUCGGAUUGUAAACUCCUGUUGUUGAGGAAGAUAAUGACGGUACUCAACAAGGAAGUGACGGCUAACUACGUGCCAGCAGCCGCGGUAAAACGUAGGUCACAAGCGUUGUCCGGAAUUACUGGGUGUAAAGGGAGCGCAGGCGGGAAGACAAGUUGGAAGUGAAAUCCAUGGGCUCAACCCAUGAACUGCUUUCAAAACUGUUUUUCUUGAGUAGUGCAGAGGUAGGCGGAAUUCCCGGUGUAGCGGUGGAAUGCGUAGAUAUCGGGAGGAACACCAGUGGCGAAGGCGGCCUACUGGGCACCAACUGACGCUGAGGCUCGAAAGUGUGGGUAGCAAACAGGAUUAGAUACCCUGGUAGUCCACACCGUAAACGAUGAUUACUAGGUGUUGGAGGAUUGACCCCUUCAGUGCCG
rnacentral:rRNA from 1 species